AGAAGCGAGGGGUCUGUCAUUCAGGAAGAUAUGGUAGGGAAGGGGCAUUUUGCUGCUUGGAAUUCUCACUACCCCUCUGAAGCAGUGCUGUUUUUGUCACUUGCACCGGUUCCUUUCUCUGGGAAAGAUCAAAACAAUGCACUCCAGAGGUUGACAUAGACCAAAAACUGGGUUUCAUGUGAAGGAGUUUAUUCCUUCCCUUUGAGAUGUGAAGGAAUGUAUUGAGAAUAAUUCUACCUUCCAUCCUCAAGGUCCUGUGUGAAUUCUCACAAAGGUGAUGAUAGAGCCUAGAAGGAAAGGGAAACUGUCUAUGCCUUUCCUUUAACUCUUCAGUGUCAAUGUCAGCUCCAGAGAAUGAGCUGAGAACUUACUUCUGAAUCAGUGGGUCUCCAUUCCUCCUGGUGGUCUUUUGGACCCUCUUGCAGAAGAUGACUUCGUGGGAACUCUUUUGGUAGUGAAUGAUACCAGUAAAUCCCUGAAACAAGACUUUUCAGACAAAGAGCCUUUUCGCUUACCUGUUGUCCAAGGGCCAUCCU